rnacentral:rRNA from 1 species
GCGUAGGGUAUGUAGGUGGUGAAAGUCGGUGUGAAUAAAAUCCUGGGUUGCAACCCUUGUCCGUUCGCUUCCAUAUUUCACUAGAAUCUGAGAAGGGUCUUGGUAUAUUCAUGGAGGAGUUAAAAAUGAGAUAUGAAUAUGACCGACAGCGGUGAAAGCAAAUUCCUGGUCCAGUAUUGAGCUGAGGUACGAAGGCAGGGGAGCAAAAUGGAUUAGACACCCAUGUAGUCCGUGCUGUAACGCUGAGUUUUCACUGUUAGAGAAUUGAAUAACGAUCCCCAUUAACUUCGCUAUCAUAAAAAAAUAUGCGGGGUUUCUGAAUUUAUUACAUAAAUAAAAGGAUCCGAGCUUGCCGGGGGAAUGGGGGAAAGACCUUCUUCCAAACACAACGUUAAAAAGUGGGCAUCCGCAGGGAUUUCUGAAUGAUUAGAAAUUCUGGUAUCUCAGUUUUUUCUGGUGGUUGAGUAACGCGUUAAAUUCUCCGCUGGGGAGUACGGCCGCAGGUUGAAACUCAAAAGAAUUGAGGUGCCUCGUACGAGG